AUACGUAGGGGGCAAGCGUUGUCCGGAAUGAUUGGGCGUAAAGGGCGCGUAGGCGGCCCGGUAAGUCUGGAGUGAAAGUCCUGCCUUCAAGGUGGGAAUUGCUUUGGAUACUGUCGGGCUUGAGUGCAGGAGAGGUAAGUGGAAUUCCCAGUGUAGCGGUGAAAUGCGUAGAGAUUGGGAGGAACACCAGUGGCGAAGGCGACUUACUGGACUGUAACUGACGCUGAGGCGCGAAAGUGUGGGGAGC
rnacentral:rRNA from 1 species